CUACUUUUAUGACACACAGCACCUGUUUAACAGACACGAUGUUGGUGAAAUGCCUUUUACUAUACCUUGCUGCAGUAGGUGAGUCUUUUGAUUUGUAGCCUGCUGGUUAUUGAAUACCUUAUCUAUUAUAUGCAGAAUAUAUCUAUAGUAUUGUAGAAUUGGUGGGAUACAUAGUACUCACUUCCAGGUAGUGUGAUAAAAGGUGAGGUGUGUAUAUAUUCAUAAAUUCUUAUACUGUACAACAGUGCAAUACAAGACUAUUGUUUGUGGGAAUCCUGAAUGAAAAGGUAGAAAAAUAAAAACUAAUUUCAGACAUCCAAAUAUAAUGCAUUUAGAAAGAGUAAGUCGUACUUGCAAAAAGACACCUAAUAAUAUCAAAUUCUGUAUAAAGUGCAGUCAAAGGUAUGUGAUUGCUUGAAAGUUGACAGAUUUGGAAUGAGCAAAUUGUUGUGACAAAUUUCAGUUUCUCACAUUAGUUGGACCAAUGACGAUCUAUCUGGUCCAUUUAUGUUCUUUGCUGACAUGGAAGAUCCAAUUUAAAACCACUCUAAAGAGUCUUAUUAAUCCUAAAUGAGUAGAACAUUCAAUUGUCAGAGAAUGGAAAAUGUAAGCACCCAGGAAAGACACAGCUUGCACUCCACUUGAGCUAUGGUUUUAAUGUGUUUAUGACCUUCCAAUUGGCUAGCAUAGCGCAAGUGUAGACUACACUAGUAGAGUGUAGGAUGUAUAAAAUCUGGCGCCAAUUAUUGAUUAAUAAUCGUUAGACUCAGGGUUAGAUCCGAGAUUUAUAUAUUUCUUGCCUUAGUGAAUAAAUCAAAUUAACAAUAUAUGUGCUAAAUGUCAUAUAUGAACAUUCGGGGACUACCAUUCAUCAUCACAACCUGUUCUAUAUGAUUUUCAGGACUCUGUAGGGGUUAAUUAUAAAAUUUCCGUGAUAUAAAUGCAGUGAUUUUUUAUGCCACUGACUUUAGUUUCCACGGUGAUUGCCCCACUACUACAACACUGAACUUCAUUAAUAUUAUCACACUCUGAUAAAUCUCUGUAUGUAUGUAAUUUCUAACUAAUCUUUAUUAACUGAUGAAUGCUCCCAAGCCUGUAGAUUUAGUGUUCCUGAACUAAGUCUGCCUUAAAGUGAGGUCUGUGUGUUCAUUUAUUGACCAAGAGAAGUCAUGAUUACUGCUUAAAAAAAAUAUUUCUGCAUUUAAUAGCACUUAUAAAUAGAGAAUAAAUCAUGAUUUGGUUCACUUAUUCAUGUAAAAAAGGGAGUAAAUUAAUAUAGCGGUUAAGAAGAAUGGAAUCUGUGAGAGUUGCUCUGUGUAUUGUAUCACCUCUAUUACUGUAUUGUAAUUGGUUGUUUUGCAUACCAGAGAACAAGUUACCUGCAACAUUGUGCAUAUUUGGGAUAGUUGUGGCGGGUCUCCUGUACAGAAGUAGACUUGAAAGCGGAUGUGUCAGUGCUGAAAUCAAAUAACUAUCUAUCAGGAAGUCAUUUUCCUGGCACUCUGCUAUUUAUAUCAGAACAUUAUGGUUGUACAGAAGAUUCCAGUGUAGAUUGAUGUGGCAAGAUUGUCUUUAGUACAAUAUAACAUAUUAUGGACUAAACUAUGGCUUACUUCGUUUGCUAGUACAUUUUCACAACACAAUCAGAUAAUUAUACAUAAAUAUAGGUUAUUAUAUAAUGACUAGCACUUAGCCUAUCUAACCUACAAUAAUAUAUUAAAAUGAAAUAAAAUGCAUGGUAAAAUAUGAAAAAUUAUUUUUGUCAUUAUAAAACAUGGUGACAAAAGGUGUUAAGUUUUUGUUCAUUUUCCUUGUGUCCAUGUCUAAUGUUGGGGGAUUUUUUUUGUAAUUCUUUUGAAUUACAACAUAGUUAUUUAAGGGGAAAUUUCUGCUAUUUGGCUUACUUGCUAAAAUAAAGAUUAUGGUUGGGGAUAUUUUGCUGUGCAAAUCUAAUAUAUGUGGAAUUCAAUUAGUAAAUGCAAUAUAGAGACAUAAAGUAAGCUAAAAGUAAAUAUAUAAAGGUAUGUUGCAUAGUAUAUAUGUAUAUUAUAACAUCACUAUUGGACUCUAAACUGGGUUAGUUAAAACCAAAAUGAAAAUGUUUUGAAUGCAAUAACUAGAAAAUGGAACACUUUAUUUGUUAGACUCUGGGUAUAGCCGUAUACAGUGUUAUUGCGGUACAAUAAUGCAUUUCAUAAAACAUUAUAAUGCUGAAAAAGUUAAUUUAGAAGAACACAGUGUUUAGCUGCUGCUUCUAAGCACUUUACGUGUUUUGAACCUAUGUGCACUAUAUACAUAAUGGAGAUCCGUUCGUUUUUAAUAUAAGCCCAGUGUUUGAUAGACAUUUUAUUUUUUCUUCAUAUUUGUUUUGACAAAUAUAUUUUAUAUAAUAUAAUAUAAUUUGAGAGAAUGCAGAUAGUAUAGAUUGGAGGAAAGAUGAAACCGGGGGGAUAUCACAGAAACAUUUAAAUACAUAAUGGGAAUCAACACAGUAAAGGAGGAGACUAUAUUUAAAAGAAGGAAAAACUACCACAACAAGGGGACAUAGUCUUAAAUUAGAGGGGCAAAGGUUUAAAAAUAAUAUCAGGAAGUUUUACUUUAUUGUGAGGGUAGCUGAUGCAUGGAAUAGCCGUCCAGCUUAAAUGGUAGAGGUUAACACAGUAAUGGAGUUUAAGUAUGCGUGGGAUAGACAUAAGGCUAUCCUAACUAUAAGAUAAUGCCAGGGACUAAUGAAAGUAUUUAGAAAAUUGGGCAGACUAGAUGGGCCGAAUGGUUCUUAUCUGCCGUCACAUUCUAUGUUUCUAUAACUAGAAAUUGUGGAAGGUGCCUUAUUAGUACACUAGUAAUGCACAUUAAAGGUUCUGUUAAAAAUAACACUUCUACCCAUCUAUGCAUAUAGCAACAUGGUGACAAGAUCAGCAAACCCUGUUCAAGGGUGUUAAGAUGAACCUUUAAGAAAUAGAAACUACUCAUUGGGAAAGGUUCUGCUGAAGGGCCAUAUCUUCAUAAAAGUAUGUUUACUUUGUAGCUGGUAUAAUUGGUUUUAGUUGUAGUCAAAUUGGCUGUUCUGUAUACACACGGUGUGGGGGGGGGGGAGAGGGGAGGCAGAGGUAGAGUGAGCAGUUAAUUGCAUAACGUAUAUGACUGUACUUUAAAUUCCACCAGGUAGGGCAGGGGUUGUGUAAUAUAUAGUGUGAGAAUGAACAGUUGAAGGCUUGUAACAGGGUUGAGGUGGUCUGUAGACAGUAUAAUAACAUUUGGUUCUGUUUGAGAUUGGUGGGAAUUACACUCCCAGGCAGGAGGUAAUAUUUGCACCUACUGUUAUUAAUUCAUUCCUUCUUCCAUAUAUGAUGUGCUGGGCAAAAUUAAGGAGAGAGAGAAUUUUGCUUCUGCGUCCUUGACACAUUUCUCACCUUCAGCAUCUUAUCAGAGGAGGGAUUAAAAUCGGCAACUGCUGCAAUUAUCAUCUCCUGCCCAGGAUCUUAACUUUCACUAGUCUCAGACAGGCCAGGCGAUGUAUGUCCUGCUGCUGUUAUGAGAUUAGGGGCCUCCUCACUUAACAGUAUACAAUAUAGAAUAAUGCUCAAUUACUAAACAAGUAUCAUAAUGAUAAUUCAGGCAUGUUUACUCUCCUAGUGACGCAGGUCCUCUCCUUCCCAGAUCCACCUUCUUUGGUAUCACCAAACGUGCACACGCGGACUAAGAGAUGUUCCUGUAGAAACUGGUUGGACAAGGAGUGUAUAUACUUUUGCCACCUGGAUAUUAUUUGGGUGAACACUG